GAUGAACGCUAGCGGCAGGCCUAACACAUGCAAGUCGAGGGGCAGCAUGAUUAAUAGCAAUAUUAAUUGAUGGCGACCGGCGCACGGGUGCGUAACACGUAUGCAAUCUACCUUAUACAGGGGCAUAACUUCGAGAAAUCGGUGCUAAUUCCCCAUAACACUAUGACUGGGCAUCCAGAUGUAGUUAAAGUUUCGGCGGUAUAAGAUGAGCAUGCGUCCAAUUAGCUCGUAGGUGAUGUAAUGGCUCACCUAGGCUACGAUUGGUAGGGGUUCCGAGAAGAUGCGCCCCCACACGGGUACUGAGACACGGACCACACUCCUACGGGAGGCAGCAGUGAGGGAGAUUGCGCAAGGGACGAAAGUCUGACGCAGCCAUGCCGCGUGAAGGAUUGAAGGUCCUAUGGAUUGUAAACUUCUUUUGUACGGGAAUAAACCCUACCUCGUGAGGUAGGCUGAAGGUACCGUAAGAAUAAGCACCGGCUAAAUCCGUGCCAGCCGCCGCCGUAAGAC
rnacentral:rRNA from 1 species